AUACGGGAGGCAGCAGUCGAGAAUUUUUCUCAAUGGGGGAAACCCUGAAGGAGCGACGCCGCGUGGAGGAUGAAGGUCUUCGGAUUGUAAACUCCUGUCAUUUGGGAACAAGUUGCAUCGGUUAACUGCCGAUGCAUUGAUAGUACCAGAAGAGGAAGAGACGGCUAACUCUGUGCCAGCAGCCGCGGUAAUACAGAGGUCUCAAGCGUUGUUCGGAUUCAUUGGGCGUAAAGGGUGCGUAGGUGGCGGGGUAAGUCUGGUGUGAAAUCUCGGAGCUCAACUCCGAAACUGCACUGGAUACUGCCUUGCUCGAGUACUGGAGAGGAGAUUGGAAUUUACGGUGUAGCAGUGAAAUGCGUAGAUAUCGUAAGGAAGACCAGUGGCGAAGGCGAAUCUCUGGACAGUUACUGACACUGAGGCACGAAGGCCAGGGGAGCAAACGGGAUUAGAUACCCGGGUAGUCCC
rnacentral:rRNA from 1 species